GCCAUCCUUGUUCCAGUGCUAUCUGUGGGACCGGACAGAGACUGAACUGCAGCUGACCGCAUAUCCUCACUUUGCUUCUUCCCAGCCCUGUCUUGCUUCCCUCACUGCCUUACAAGGUUUCACUUGCAUGUGCUUGCAGAAGACUCCUGACUCUGCCAUUGCAACCUCUGAUGUUAGGGAUCUUAACCUAAGACAGGAGACUUCCUGCCCGGGCCCUAUGUUUUAUAUUUUCACCUAUAUUCUGGAGAGGAAAAUGAAGAAUUCCUUAAGUUCUCACUUGAAAAUUUGAUUUGUAAGGGAACUGGAAGUUUUCCUGCUGAGUGCUCCAUGUGUAAGAG
rnacentral:lncRNA from 1 species